AGGGUUUGAUCAUGGCUCAGGACGAACGCUGGCGGCGGGCCUAACACAUGCAAGUCGAACGCACUCGACCUUCGGGUCAUAUGAGUGAGUGGCGAACGGGUGAGUAACACGUGAGAAACCUGCCCCGAAGACUGGAAUAACCCGAGGAAACUCGGGCUAAUACCGGAUGCCCCCAACUGAUCGCAUGAUCAGUUGAGGAAAUGCUCCGGCGCUUCGGGAGGGUCUCGCGGCCUAUCAGCUAGUUGGUGAGGUAACGGCUCACCAAGGCAACGACGGGUAGCUGGUCUGAGAGGACGAUCAGCCACACUGGGACUGAGACACGGCCCAGACUCCUACGGGAGGCAGCAGUGGGGAAUCUUGCGCAAUGGACGAAAGUCUGACGCAGCCACGCCGCGUGAGGGAUGAAGGCUUUCGGGUCGUAAACCUCUUUCAGCAGGGAAGAAAAUGACGGUACCUGCAGAAGAAGCUCCGGCCAACUACGUGCCAGCAGCCGCGGUAACACGUAGGGAGCAAGCGUUGUCCGGAUUUAUUGGGCGUAAAGAGCUCGUAGGCUGCUCAGUAAGUCAGGUGUGAAAACUCGAGGCUCAACCUCGAGACGCCACUUGAUACUGCUGUGACUAGAGUCCGGUAGAGGAGUGUGGAAUUCCUGG
rnacentral:rRNA from 1 species